CCUACGGGAGGCAGCAGUGGGGAAUAUUGCACAAUGGGGGAAACCCUGAUGCAGCGACGCCGCGUGAGUGAAGACGUAUCUCGGUACGUAAAGCUCUAUCAGCAGGGGAGAAAAUGACGGUACCUGACUAAGAAGCCCCGGCUAACUACGUGCCAGCAGCCGCGGUAAUACGUAGGGGGCAGGCGUUAUCCGGAUUUACUGGGUGUAAAGGGAGCGUAGACGGCAGCGCAAGUCUGGAGUGAAAUGCCGGGGCCCAACCCCGGAACUGCUUUGGAAACUGUGCCGUUCGAGUGCAAGCGAGGUAAGCGGAAUUCCUGGUGUAGCGGUGAAAUGCGUAGAUAUGAGGAGGAACACCAGUGGCGAAGGCGGCUUACUGGACUGGAACUGACGUUGAUGCUCGAAAGCGUGGGUAGCAAACAGGAUUAGAUACCCUAGUAGUC
rnacentral:rRNA from 1 species